rnacentral:tRNA from 1 species
GAGGGUAUAACUCAGUGGUAGAGUGUGUGCCUAAGCAUGCACGAGGUCCUGGGUUCAAUCCCCAGUAACUCCA